CAGCAGCCGCCACGGUAAUACGUAGGUGGCAAGCGUUGUCCGGAAUUAUUGGGCGUAAAGGGCUUGCAGGCGGUUUCUUAAGUCUGAUGUGAAAGCCCCCGGCUCAACCGGGGAGGGUCAUUGGAAACUGGGAAACUUGAGUGCAGAAGAGGAGAGUGGAAUUCCACGUGUAGCGGUGAAAUGCGUAGAGAUGUGGAGGAACACCAGUGGCGAAGGCGACUCUCUGGUCUGUAACUGACGCUGAGGAGCGAAAGCGUGGGGAGCGAACAGGAUUAGAUACCCGCGUAGUCCCUGUCUCUUU
rnacentral:rRNA from 1 species